GUUUUCGGGGGUCUUAAGUAACUGGUUACAGGUUCACAUCCUCGGUCUUUCGGCCUUUGUCGGGCUAAACUGGCUGGCACUUGUAGGCCGGUCGCGCGCCUUUACUGUGCCCACAAGAGGAGGAUGGUGAGGGAUUGCGCGUUUGGUGCAGGCGCGACCUAGAGGGUUGUUGGGGCCGAACGGCAGGCAAACCUCGGCUCGCGUUCCCUGCCUCUGAUGAAGCCUGUGUUGGUAGGGACAUCUGAGAAUGUUGAUGAAUGCCAACUGCUCUGAUGGCCGAACGCGAGGAGUUGACUGAGUGGGCCUUUGUGUAGGACGCGGUGGAACCACCGCCGUCGCUCGUUCUCGGGAAGACGGGUGGUUGCGUUAGUCCACGUGAUUCUCCGGGUGGCUCGGUUUCCCAGUGCCGCCACUGUUUCCAUCUAUAGUUAACUGGGUGCAGUGCUCUCCUUUGUAACGGUAGGUGCCUCUACCUAUCGUGCAGUUAUGGGUGGUAAAGGUUAACUGCAUGAUUGGUAACAAAAACAUAGCAACGUGGGAACGAUGAUUUUUAAAUCUGCACCUAAUUUUUUCCUUAGGAAUGGUGGUAGGCUUGGAUGCAGUGUGGCCUUUGGUGGCAUGUUAUCAGUUCUGUGCCAAGGGAGUGAUGAGAGUAGCUACGGAGGUCCUAAAGAGCAAGCCUCACUGUUGCUGUGAGCACACAGGCACUGAAAAGAAAGCUGGAGGAUGAAAUGAUGGAGUCCAACUUGUUUAUACCAGCUUUAUAUUUUUGCUACUGGUUACACAUUUUUUUCCAUGGACAGCUUGCUUGGGCUGAAUGAUCCUGCCACAGUCUCCUGAGUAGCUGGGACUGCAGGCAUGCGUCACCAGGUCCAGCUAGAACCUUUCAAGGUAUGAAGAGUAAGCUUGACAGCAGUGCAUGGAGCAAGUUUUCAGAAGAGGCAGACCUUCUAUUCUAAAAACUUCUAGGGAUUUCAUAUGACCACAGCAAAGCAGCAUGCAGCUUACCCUUCAAAAGGCACUUUCAUGGAUGCUGAUGGAAAGAGUAAACAACAUCUUUCAAUGUAAUAACUUUCUGCAAACCAGCUGGAGGAGUGAUUAUUCUAAAUGGGAUGAAAGAAGGGAAGUUAACCCAAUCAAAUAAUGAAGGGAUGUUUUAGUUGUUUGCCUGUUAAUUUUAAGUUGAAAUAAACACAGAUCAUUAAGACUCCA